UAAUAAAACUACUGUCUCCCACACAGCCGGCUCUGCAUGAAUUGCUCUUUAUUGCAAUUCCCCUGUCUUGAGAAAUCGCUUCUGUCUAGGCAGCGGGCAAGGUGAGCCCAUUGGGCAGUUACAAGGAGACACGGAGACACAGAGACACAAAGACAGACACACAAAAAAGAGACUGUCAUGUGAAAAGACAGACACACAGAGAGAACAUCGUAAGAAGACAGAGGAGGAGAUUGGAGAGAAGCAACUGUAAGCCAAGGAACACCAAAGACUGCAGGAAACCCCAAAAACUAGGAACAGGGCAUGGAACAGAUUCUACCCAUAUUCUCAGGAAGAGUCCCUGCCAACACCUGGAAUUCAAGCUUCUGGAUUCCAGAUCGAAAAAACCUGGGCUUAGAUAAUGAUUACGCCAAACCACUGGAUUCAAGAAAAAGCUCGUCAUGCCCAACUAUUGCAUGACAGUAUGUGAGAGCCAACCGACUAAAGAUAUUUUAGGAGAAUAAAAUAUUUGGAGAGCAUUGGAGUAAGGACUGUCAUUCCUGGAAUGGAAGCAUUUAAUUAAAAUGACCAUAAGCCUGAAGUGACUGGGGCAUGGGAAUAUCCUUGAUGAGAAGAUAGUGAAGCAUGUAACACCCUGGGAUAGAUGGUGCUGAUGGAACAUUUUGAGGAGACCCAAGUUGUUGGUGGAGGUGAUGGGAGACUCAGGACAACAGAAAGUAUGGGAUUUUCAAUGCUGCAGAAAUGGGGCUGAUAUGGUUUGGCUCUGUCCCCACCCAAAUAUCACCUUGAACUGUAGCUCCCAUAAUUCCCAUGUGUGGUGGGAGGGACCCAGUGGGAGGUAAUUGAAUCAUGGGGGCUGGUUUCUCCCAUGCUAUUCUCAUGAUAGUGAGUAAGUCUCACGAGAUCUGAUGGUUUUAUAAAGGGGAGUUUCCCUACACAAAUUCUGUCUUGCCUGCUGCCAUGUAAGACGUGACUUUGCUCCUUAUUCACCUUCUGCUGCGAUUGUCCUGGAGGCUGGAAGCCCAAGAUCAAGGUGUCGACAAGGCUCGUGCUUCCUGAGGCCUCUCUCCCUGGCUUGUAGAACCCAUCUUCUCCCUGUGUCCUCACACAGUUGUCCCUCGAAACCCAUGCUAUGGACAGCCCUAUGGAAAAAGCAACCUGGAGAAGAAUUUUAGCCUCCCAAGCAUCACCAUAGUUGUCCUUUGGAAGAAGAUCAUCCAGCUCAAGUUCAGUCUCAAAUGACUGCACCCCCAGCUGACAACUGGACUGCACCAGAAUCAAUCACCUGAACUGCUCACCAAGUCCCAACCUAAAGAAGACAGGAGAAGGUCACUUGAGGGUCAUGAAAAAAUUUGCAGAAGGAAUGAAUGCCUUGAAGGACGUUGCGACCAGCUGCUGAUACCCAGGAAUCUGGUUGCUCAAGAUGUUACCUGAGAAUAAAGAAACGCAGACUUUUCCCCCUCACUUCCCUGAAACUGCCUCUCCUUUACUCCUUAGCUACCUAAAAACUCACUGCUUCCUCUUUUUGUUAAGAUGGAUUUGAGACAUCUUGCUCUCCCAACUUCUUGCUUUGACCAAAUUGAAUAAAUCUUGUUUGAUCUCCA
rnacentral:lncRNA from 1 species